rnacentral:rRNA from 1 species
AAUAUUAGAUAAUGGGGGCAACCCUGAUCCAGCCAUGCCGCGUGAGUGAAGAAGGACGUCGGAUUGUAAAGCACUUUAAGUUGGGAGGAAGGGCGUUAGGUUAAUACCCUGAAGUUUUGGCGGUACCAACAGAAUAAGCACCGGCUAACUCUGUGCAAGCAGCCGCGGUAAUACAGAGGGUGCAAGCGUUAAUCGGAAUUACUGGGCGUAAAGCGCGCGUAGGUGGUUCAGUAAGAUGGGUGUGAAAUCCCCGGGCUUAACCUGGGAACUGCUUUCAUAACUGCUGAGCUAGAGUACGGUAGAGGGUAGGGGAAUUUCCUGUGUAGCGGUGAAAUGCGUAGAUAUAGGAAGGAACACCAGUGGCGAAGGCGACUACCUGGACUGAUACUGACACUGAGGUGCGAAAGCGUGGGGAGCAA